rnacentral:rRNA from 1 species
CCUACGGGAGGCAGCAGUGGGGAAUAUUGCACAAUGGGCGCAAGCCUGAUGCAGCCAUGCCGCGUGUGUGAAGAAGGCCUUCGGGUUGUAAAGCACUUUCAGCGGGGAGGAAGGCGUUAAGGUUAAUAACCUUGGCGAUUGACGUUACCCGCAGAAGAAGCACCGGCUAACUCCGUGCCAGCAGCCGCGGUAUUACGGAGGGUGCAAGCGUUAAUCGGAAUUACUGGGCGUAAAGCGCACGCAGGCGGUCUGUCAAGUCGGAUGUGAAAUCCCCGGGCUCAACCUGGGAACUGCAUUCGAAACUGGCAGGCUAGAGUCUUGUAGAGGGGGGUAGAAUUCCAGGUGUAGCGGUGAAAUGCGUAGAGAUCUGGAGGAAUACCGGUGGCGAAGGCGGCCCCCUGGACAAAGACUGACGCUCAGGUGCGAAAGCGUGGGGAGCAAACAGGAUUAGAUACCCCAGUAGUC